UACGUAGGGGGCGAGCGUUGUCCGGAUUCAUUGGGCGUAAAGAGCUCGUAGGCGGUUUGGUAAGUCGGGUGUGAAAACCCCAGGCUCAACCUGGGGACGCCACCUGAUACUGCUAUGACUUGAGUCUGGUAGGGGAUCACGGAAUUCCUGGUGUAGCGGUGAAAUGCGCAGAUAUCAGGAGGAACACCGGUGGCGAAGGCGGGUCUCUGGGCCGAUACUGACGCUGAGGAGCGAAAGCGUGGGGAGCGAACAGG
rnacentral:rRNA from 1 species